UGUCCAGUAACUCCUAUCCCUACCUCCCAGUGGUGCCGCCUAGGGUACGAGUAACCGUAGGGAAGAUCGGGUAACCAACCCCCCGUGUGAACUUUGGUCGCAUGCUGACAGGGAAGG
rnacentral:ribozyme from 1 species